rnacentral:rRNA from 1 species
ACGCACGCUGGCGGCGUGCUUAACACAUGCAAGUCGAACGGAAAGGCCCUGCUUUUGUGGGGUGCUCGAGUGGCGAACGGGUGAGUAACACGUGAGUAACCUGCCCUUGACUUUGGGAUAACUUCAGGAAACUGGGGCUAAUACCGGAUAGGAGCUCCUGCUGCAUGGUGGGGGUUGGAAAGUUUCGGCGGUUGGGGAUGGACUCGCGGCUUAUCAGCUUGUUGGUGGGGUAGUGGCUUACCAAGGCUUUGACGGGUAGCCGGCCUGAGAGGGUGACCGGCCACAUUGGGAAUGAGAUACGGCCCAGACUCCUACGGGAGGCAGCAGUGGGGAAUAUUGCAAAAUGGGCGGAAGCCUGAUGCAGCAACGCCGCGUGCGGGAUGACGGCCUUCGGGUUUUAAACCGCUUUCGCCUGUGACGAAGCGUGAGUGACGGUAAUGGGUAAAGAAGCACCGGCUAACUACGUG